AUUGAACGCUGGCGGCAGGCCUAACACAUGCAAGUCGAGCGGAUGAAGGGAGCUUGCUCCUGGAUUCAGCGGCGGACGGGUGAGUAAUGCCUAGGAAUCUGCCUGGUAGUGGGGGAUAACGUCCGGAAACGGGCGCUAAUACCGCAUACGUCCUGAGGGAGAAAGAGGGGGAUCUUCGGACCUCACGCUAUCAGAUGAGCCUAGGUCGGAUUAGCUAGUUGGUGGGGUAAAGGCCUACCAAGGCGACGAUCCGUAACUGGUCUGAGAGGAUGAUCAGUCACACUGGAACUGAGACACGGUCCAGACUCCUACGGGAGGCAGCAGUGGGGAAUAUUGGACAAUGGGCGAAAGCCUGAUCCAGCCAUGCCGCGUGUGUGAAGAAGGUCUUCGGAUUGUAAAGCACUUUAAGUUGGGAGAAAGGGCAGUAAGUUAAUACCUUGCUGUUUUGACGUUACCAACAGAAUAAGCACCGGCUAACUUCGUG
rnacentral:rRNA from 1 species